rnacentral:lncRNA from 1 species
UAAGUACAAGUCUCCGCCACCACCAGUGUACAAGUACAAGUCACCACCCCCACCACCACCAGUUUACAAGUACAAAUCUCCACCACCACCUGUCUAUAAGUACAAGUCUCCUCCUCCACCACCUCCAGUUUACAAAUACAAAUCUCCACCACCACCUGUGUACAAGUACAAGUCUCCUCCACCACCACCUCCAGUUUACAAAUACAAAUCNAUAAUAAAUACAAUCCUAGUUAAUUAUACAUGUAGUAUUUAUUUUGUAAUAAUGAUCCCCUUUAUUUAUUUUAUUAUUUAUGAGAAAAUGUAUACAUGUGUAAAAAACCUAAAGUAUGAUCACAUGCUUUCUACUUUUCUUCUGGCUUUCGAUUUUUCGGUAAUAAAAUACUAAUAUAACAUCUUUCUAGAACAACUAUACAGUCGUUAUUUUAUUUUUUCUCUGGUAGACUAAGAUUAACGAACCAAGGAAAAAGUCCCCAAACAGCGGCUAAAAUAAAAAAUUUAGGAGUUUCUAUAAUAAUUUCAACUUGAUAUAUAUUUAUAAUAAUUGAGUACAUAAAUAAAUAUUAUAAUAUUUAAUAAAUUUCUUUAUAUAUAUGAGAUAUUAAUGAUAGUCAGAAUUGUUUUAUUGAGUUAAUAUUAUGAAAAGUAAAAGAAAUUAAAGGAAGUUCAACAUUCAUUAUGUAUACAUAAAAAAUAAUUUUAAUUAUAUAUAAAUAACGUAAUUUUUCUUCAAAGUGGGCUUGAAUAAACACUUAAAUUAUUAGAUUCUAUAACUCCUUCCUUGCGUAAAAACUACUGAUUUUUGUGAACUCAUAUAUUAUAUAGUGAAUCCACCCUUGAGCCCCCACCUUCCCAAAGAACUAUUACGUGAAAAUGACAUUCGAAAUUUACAUGCACGUAAAGUGGGUUAGAAUAACGAAAACCAAGUUGAUUGGAUAACAAGAAAUUAUGAGUGAUAUUCUGAGGUCCCUCUUCAUUAAAUUCAUCUUGUAUUCAUUAUUUUGGUAAAUAAAAUGAGAAAAUAUAAGCAUUAACACAAAUUUUCAAAGUCAUGUGUAAGAACACUUGUGAAGACAAAAAUUAUAUAAGUGGUUAAUUUUCUUGCCUCAGCAGCAAUAAUAGAAUAGUCUCCCAAGUCCAGGUACAGUUUUCAUUAAUUUUAUUUUAGUUAAUAAUAGAGUGCCAGCUCAAUCUACUAUAUUAAAAUGAAUAAGCAAAAUUAUAAUUAAUUAAUUAAUAUAUCAGUGAUUAUGAGUGAUUAGUUGAAGCCUUGGGUUGAGCUAUAAAAGCAGGGUUUGGGGGGAUACAUUGGCAGAGCAAACAUGGCUAAAAUAGUCUAUCUUCUUACCACUCUUUUAGUGGCUUUAGUGUCCCUUAGCUUCCCUUCAGAAUGCAAAGCAAAUUACUACUAUACAUCUCCACCCCCACCAACCCCAGUUUAUAAGUACAAGUCUCCGCCACCACCAGUGUACAAGUACAAGUCACCACCCCCACCACCACCAGUUUACAAGUACAAAUCUCCACCACCACCUGUCUAUAAGUACAAGUCUCCUCCUCCACCACCUCCAGUUUACAAAUACAAAUCUCCACCACCACCUGUGUACAAGUACAAGUCUCCUCCACCACCACCUCCAGUUUACAAAUACAAAUCUCCACCACCACCUGUCUACAAGUACAAGUCUCCUCCUCCACCACCUCCAGUUUACAAGUACAAAUCUCCACCACCACC